AACAAAAAAUAAAUAAAAAUCCUUAAGUUAAGAACUUUAAAUUUACAUUUAAAGUUCUUAAAGUAAGUCUUAAAGCUAGUUUAUAGUAAAAUUAAUUGAGUAAAAAUAUGUUUGCAAUUGUUGCAUUUGAUACCACUUCUGAGACAGACUAUGUUCCAUUAAAAUGGCUUGAGGGAGUGGAUGUUAAUAAUAUCCAAUUAAUGAUUACAAAUAACACAUCAGUAAAGUGCCAUUGGCCACCAUUCAAAAAUCCCAACACUGUUACUAAAGCUAAAAAUAACAGUUAUGAUGCAGAGAUGAAUUGGCCAUUCUACAUAGCAAGGGUGCUGGGAUUAGCUAACAAUCUGAACAAUGCUCGUCAAAAAGCCAAAAUAGCUGAAGACACAUCUAGUUUGGAAAAUGCUUUUGAGGAGACAGAAGAAAGUUCAGGAACUUUCAGGAAAAACAAAAAAGACCCUAUUUCGAAGGUACCCCUAUUUCGAAGAGUGACAAAGAUCAGUUAUGACAGAGAAAGUGAAAAUGAGGAUUCUGAAAACGAUCUAUUGCACAGUGUAGAACCAAAAAAGAAGAUGUUAGCAAAUUCAACUCUUGUCAUUAAAAAGCCCCAGCAACCCUAUUACAAACUCUCAUCAAACAGCAAAUUCAGAGUUGAUCAUCAGUUGCAACAUGAUGAACAUUUUAAUGACUUGAAUAUAUGGAAUAGCGAACAAUUUUCGCCGCCUAUUGCUUUAACUCCUGAAUGCGCAACAUCAGUUCCAAUGUUGAGUUCUACUAUUGCAGCCUCCGGUUUAAGUCAAACUGCUAACCUGCAAACUAUAUUUAAUUUGAUAACAACUUUGGUUAGCAAUGUUGAGGAGAUAAAAAAAACUCUAAAAGUACAUACAUCACUACUGCAUUCUAUUAAACACAAAGUGCGAGUGAAUGAAGAAGAAAUAUUUGAUUUGCCAGAAGAUAUAAAAUUGCCACUGACAUCUAUAGCUGAAGUUGACACAUUGGAGGAAAAGUUACUUUGCGCAGAGAAAAAAAAAUUCUUGUGCUGUGAAACUGAACCCAAACACAAAACAAUGCACUAUUAAAUAUAUUGAAAUUGAAUUGUCGAAAUGGUUUUCUAACGCUAGAGAUCGUGGCACUGAUGGUCGUCGAUUUGCUAUCACGAAAAUUACAAAGACGGCUCUCAGUUGAGAUUGAUGGUCAAAAAAAGCAUCUACCGAUCUCUUUCAAUAUGAUUUGUAUUUUGUUUAAUCUUUUUUUUAUAAAUGAAGAAAAAAUUUAUCAAAA